UACGUAGGUGGCAAGCGUUAUCCGGAAUUAUUGGGCGUAAAGAGCGCGCAGGUGGUUAAUUAAGUCUGAUGUGAAAGCCCACGGCUUAACCGUGGAGGGUCAUUGGAAACUGGUUGACUUGAGUGCAGAAGAGGGAAGUGGAAUUCCAUGUGUAGCGGUGAAAUGCGUAGAGAUAUGGAGGAACACCAGUGGCGAAGGCGGCCUGCUGGGCUUUAACUGACGCUGAGGCUCGAAAGCGUGGGGAGCAAACAGG
rnacentral:rRNA from 1 species